GCUUGGCUGGCUCAGUCAGAAGAGCACGUGACUCUUGAUCUUGGGGCUGUGAGUUUGAGCCCCACGUUGGGUG
rnacentral:tRNA from 1 species